rnacentral:lncRNA from 1 species
ACUCUGGAUUCUUNGUAACAAAGGUCCACUUUAUGCUUUGAAUAUAGCCCUUGCUGCUCUGCCACCGCAACUUGUUUUUAAAAUGGUCCUGUUUCUUUAUCCUCCUCUCUCCCUGAUCUCUCCCCCUCCCAAAUUUCAGGGGAAACAGGGUUAUCUUUCUUCCCCAUCCUAAAUAGAGUUAUCUGUUCUUGAGCACACACCCAUCACAGGAAUGAAGUAAUUCAAACUUUGGGGAUGGCACCAGAAGGUCUCAGAAAUGACUCCCUCACAAAUUAACAAGUGAAUUACAACUCCAACAGAGAGCAUGUGUAAUGUAGCCUUGGAAUCGCCUCUUUAAAAGCCCCCUGUUCUUCUUGAUGGGCAGAAUCACAGUCUCUGGAACAGGAACCCCUGUGUUUCUCCUUU